ACGGGAGGCAGCAGUGGGGAAUAUUGCACAAUGGGCGCAAGCCUGAUGCAGCCAUGCCGCGUGUAUGAAAAAGGCCUUUCGGGUUGUAAAGUACUUUCAGUCGUGAGGAAGGUGUUAAGGUUAAUAACCUUAGCAAUUGACGUUAGCGACAGAAGAAGCACCGGCUAACUCCGUGCCAGCAGCCGCGGUAAUACGGAGGGUGCGAGCGUUAAUCGGAAUUACUGGGCGUAAAGGGCACGCAGGCGGUUAAUUAAGUUGGAUGUGAAAUCCCCGGGCUUAACCUGGGAAUGGCAUUCAAGACUGGUUAGCUAGAGUCUUGUAGAGGGGGUAGAAUUCCAUGUGUAGCGGUGAAAUGCGUAGAGAUGUGGAGGAAUACCGGUGGCGAAGGCGGCCCCUGGACAAAGACUGACGCUCAUGUGCGAAAGCGUGGGGAGCAAACAGGAUUAGAUACC
rnacentral:rRNA from 1 species